AGUAAGGAAUAUUGGACAAUGGGGGCAACCCUGAUCCAGCCAUGCCGCGUGAGUGACGAAGGCCUUAGGGUUGUAAAGCUCUUUCGGGUGCGAAGAUAAUGACUGUAACACCAGAAGAAGCUCCGGCUAAAUUCGUGCCAGCAGCCGCGGUAAUACGAAUGGAGCGAGCGUUGUUCGGAAUCACUGGGCGUAAAGCGUAUGCAGGCGGACAUGCAAGUCAGAAGUGAAAUCCCAGGGCUUAACCCUGGAAUGGCUUUUGAAACUGCAUGUCUUGAGUCUCGGAGGGGCCAGCGGAAUUCCCAGUGUAGAGGUGAAAUUCGCAGAUAUUGGGAGGAACACCAGUGGCGUAGGCGGCUGGCUGGACGAGUACUGACGCUCAGAUACGAAAGCGUGGGGAUCAAA
rnacentral:rRNA from 1 species